GCUGAAUAACUGCUUUAUGGUACGAUUGCUAAUACGAUCGUUUAAAAGGGAAGUCCGGUGAAAAGCCGACGCGGUCCCGCCACUGUAACAAGGAGUACAGUUGUUGGAAAUCCACUAUUUCUGUUUAGAAAUGGGAAGGAAAUAGCUGUAUGAUGAUUUGGAGUCAGGAGACCUGCCAUAAUGAACAAUACCAU
rnacentral:ncRNA from 1 species